rnacentral:tmRNA from 1 species
GGGGGUGUUCCGGAUUCGACUGGAGCGGAUCCAGGGAUACGUUGCAGGUGGAGCGCCAUCUCCUGAUUGGCAACCUUUAUAACUGCUAACGAUGCAGAUUAUGCAAUGGCAGCCUAAAUAGUGCUGUCACGGACACUCAGGGUGCAGUCCUGAAUCCUGAACUGUCUGUUAGAAACCAGGACUUGCUUUCUGUCGGGCUUUGACGGCAGGAGGGACUUUUUCAAAGACCGGAUGUGGAAAGGCCUGUCGACCGGCCUGAAGCGUCUUAAAAAUCAAAUGCGUUGACUAAACCUGUAGACGCGUAUUUCUUACCCUUCAGGACGCGGGUUCAACUCCCGCCACCUCCAAUA